GGUCGAUUAGCUCAGUUGGUUAGAGCGCCGUACUAAUAUCACGCCCUUCGGGAAGAUGUCAUGCGGAUGUCAUGGGUUCGACCCCCAUAUUGACCA
rnacentral:tRNA from 1 species